UUAACACAUGCAAGCCGAGGGGUAAGGCUCUUUCGGGAGUACACGACCGGCGCACGGGUGAGUAACACGUAUGCAACCUACCUUUAACUGGGGCAUAGCUCAGAGAAAUCUGAAUUAAUACCCCAUAAUAUUUCGAAAUCGCAUGGUUUUGGAAUUAAAGCUACGGCGGUUAAAGAUGGGCAUGCGGGACAUUAGCUAGUUGGUAAGGUAACGGCUUACCAAGGCUACGAUGUCUAUGGGGUCUUAAAGGAUGGUCCCACACACUGGUACUGAGACACGGACCAGACUCCUACGGGAGGCGGCAGUGAGGAAUAUUGGUCAAUGGGUGAAAGCCUGAACCAGCCAUGCCGCGUGCAGGAUGAAUGCCCUAUGGGUUGUAAACUGCUUUUGUACAGGAAGAAACUCCCUGAUGUAUCAGGGCCUGACGGUACUGUACGAAUAAGCAUCGGCUAACUCCGUGCCAGCAGCCGCGGUAAUACGGAGGAUGCAAGCGUUAUCCGGAUUUAUUAGGUUUAAAGGGUACGUAGGCGGAUUAUUAAGUCAGUGGUGAAAUCCUACAGCUUAACUGUAGAACUGCCAUUGAAACUGAUAAUCUUGAGUACAGUUGAGGUAGGCGGUAUGUGUCAUGUAGCGGUGAAAUGCAUAGAUAUGACACAGAACACCGAUUGCGAAGGCAGCUUACUAAACUGAUACUGACGCUGAUGCACGAAAGCGUGGGGAGCGAACAGGAUUAGAUACCCUGGUAGUCCACGCCGUAAACGAUGAUUACUCGUUGUGUGCGAUACAUUGUACGCGACUGAGCGAAAGCAUUAAGUAAUCCACCUGGGGAGUACGUUCGCAAGAAUGAAACUCAAAGGAAUUGACGGGGGCCCGCACAAGCGGAGGAACAUGUGGUUUAAUUCGAUGAUACGCGAGGAACCUUACCUGGGCUUAAAUGCAGAACGACGUUCUUGGAAACUUGAACUCCCUUCGGGGCGGACUGCAAGGUGCUGCAUGGUUGUCGUCAGCUCGUGCCGUGAGGUGUCGGGUUAAGUCCCAUAACGAGCGCAACCCCUAUCGUUAGUUGCCAGCUGGUAAAGCAGGGGACUCUAACGAAACUGCCAGUGUAAACUGUGAGGAAGGUGGGGAUGACGUCAAAUCAGCAUGGCCCUUAUGUCCAGGGCUACACACGUGUUACAAUGGCCAGAACAAAGGGACGCUACUUGGUAACAAGAUGCAAAUCUCUAAAUCUGGUCUCAGUUCGGAUCGGAGUCUGCAACUCGACUUCGUGAAGUUGGAUUCGCUAGUAAUCGUAUAUCAGCAAUGAUACGGUGAAUACGUUCCCGGGCCUUGUACACACCGCCCGUCAAGCCAUGGAAGCUUGGGGUACCUGAAGUCUGUAACCGCAAGGAGCGGCCUAAGGUAAAACAAGUGACUGGGGCUAAGUCGGAACAAGGUA
rnacentral:rRNA from 1 species